rnacentral:rRNA from 1 species
UACGUAGGUCCCGAGCGUUGUCCGGAUUUAUUGGGCGUAAAGCGAGCGCAGGUGGUUUAAUAAGUCUGAUGUAAAAGGCAGUGGCUCAACCAUUGUGUGCAUUGGAAACUGUUAGACUUGAGUGCAGUAGAGGAGAGUGGAAUUCCAUGUGUAGCGGUGAAAUGCGUAGAUAUAUGGAGGAACACCGGUGGCGAAAGCGGCUCUCUGGACUGUAACUGACACUGAGGCUCGAAAGCGUGGGUAGCAAACAGGAUUAGAAACCCCUUGUAGUCC